AUCCAUUCGCAGUGGCAAUUUCAUAGUCUAUGAAGUUGUACUGAGACGUGAUUAUUGCUGUUUGAAAACUUAACCCAUAUACCCCGCCGAGAUGACUUGAAAUAUAGUCAGGCAAUUUUUGUUAGCCUCAUGGGAGA